CAGUAGCCACGGUAAUACGAAGGGGGCUAGCGUUGUUCGGAAUUACUGGGCGUAAAGCGCACGUAGGCGGAUCGAUCAGUCAGGGGUGAAAUCCCAGGGCUCAACCCUGGAACUGCCUUUGAUACUGGGUAUCUUGAGUAUGGAAGAGGUUAGUGGAAUUGCGAGUGUAGAGGUGAAAUUCGUAGAUAUUCGCAGGAACACCAGUGGCGAAGGCGGCUAACUGGUCCAUAACUGACGCUGAGGUGCGAAAGCGUGGGGAGCAAACAGGAUUAGAUACCCGGGUAGUCCCUGUCUCUUAUAC
rnacentral:rRNA from 1 species